GUAUCCGAUCCAUAAAUAGCGCAUAUCACUUCGGCAGUUAUCGGACGAUGUCGGUAUUUUCCGGAAUUUUCAUUCAGGAACUUAGUUUUAUUUUAUUUUGUACAUUUUUGAAUAUCAUUUAAUAAAACCAUUAAUAAAAAGACAAAUACAUAAAGAAUUUUUACCAAUAGUUUUCUAUUAUCAAAAAAUUACGGAAUUCUCGUCUACUCUCUUACAACGAGAUGCAAUGGCGGCGCCCAUGAAAAAACAUUGCGAAUGCCGAUUAAAAAAACAAAAACAAUGAUAAACGUUACACAUUAGAAUUAACAGUCUAUCGUGUGAUCAUAUGGUACGAUGGGCGCCAGAAAAUUAUCAUUUAUUGUGCUAACAAGACCUGUCGGCUCUGAAUAUGCUGUGAAUAGCCCAAAACAUCCGGUUUGACGUCAUUUCGACAUGUACAUUGAUCAGAUGAUAUAGAAAAAGUAGGCAUCGAAAACAACGAUUGUCCACGAAACGCUUGAUUUAGCAAUGGUCUGUGUUGAUGCUAUUUUCUUUGAAAGCAAAUUGUCAGUAAUCUGCAGCCAUUCAGCUACUGUACCAGAAACUUGAAGAAAGGCGUAAAAAGUGAGCUGCCAUUACCAAAGUACCUCAGAUAUGUAGCAGGAACCAUGACAUUCAGGCAUUUCUGUUCUGUUGAAAUAAUACUUGAGCUGGAACCAUGACGUGAAAGAAGACCUUAGGAAAUAUAUGCAAGUGGAGAUUGAGACAUAAAAUUUGUAAAAUGAAAAGACAUAUGAAGCAAAUAGCAAGUUCUGAAUGCUUCAGACUAACUAUUGGUAGACUUUCGAUGAUUUACUGCAAACAUAGGGCAAAAAGACUCGGAUACAAAUGUAUCAUAACAAUGCUUACAUGCCAAACUUCCAGGGUACCUAUACAGGAGAAUUCAGUUGAAAGACCAGGAGAUUUCAGAAUUUACAUUGUACCUAGUUUAAUAGUAUAAUUAAAAAGAUAGUUCUGAAUUCUUUUUAGCAAAUCUAAUUCAUUUUUAAAUCUACAAGGUAUUGUCAUCAUUUGUUGAUCUUUGUCAGCUUUGGUCUUGGUUAACAUUUUUGCUUAUGUUCGUCUUUUCUUCGAAACUGUAAGAAAUAUAGCUUUGAAACUUGGUUCACCUGUUUAUCAUCAUUAGAUCACAAAGAGUCAUAAUUCCCACUUCUGUCACUUUUUGGCAGAAUUAUGACCCCUUGUGUACCUAGAAAAUUGGAAUUUCUUGGUUAAAUAUUUGGUUAAAUUAAAUGUUUCAUACUUUAAGAGCUAUAGCUUGAAACUUUAUAUACUUGUUUAUCAUCAUUAGUUGACUAAAUAGUUCAUGAACCAUAACUAUUGCUUGUAUUCUGUCAGAAUAAAGGCUUUUUAAAUUUGUAUUUCUUGGUCAAUUUUUUGUUUAGCUCGACUAUUUGAAGAGUAAGUAGAGCUAUCCUACUCAUCACGGCGUUGGCGUCAGUGUCGGCGUCACACCUUGGUUAAUUUUUUCAUACCAUUUCACAUAUUGACAAAACUUUUUGAGGUAAUGCUUUAAAACUUUCAACACUUGUGUACCAUCUCCAUGUCAAGUUUUAGGCAACUUGAAGAAUACUUAACUCCAUCAAGCAUUUUGGCUGAAUUAUGGUCCCUUUUGACUUACAAAUCUUGGUUAAGUUUUUCAUACCAGUUCAUAUUUUGUGCAGACUGUUUGAUAUAUGGCUUUGGAACGUUUAUACCACUUGUUUAUUUUAUCUGUAGGCCUGGCAAGAGUACAUAACUCUGUCAAGUAUUUUGGCUGAUUUAUGGUCUUUUUGGACUUGAAAAUUGGUUCAGUUUUUGUACAGGUCCAUGUUUUGUCGAAACUUAUGACAUGUGGCUUUGAAACCUUGAACACUUGCUUAUCAUCAUAAUUUCCAUCUGUAGGCAAGAGAACAUAACUCUGUCAACUAUUUUGGCUGAAUUUUGGCCUUUUUUGGACUUGGAAAUGGUGAAGUUUUCAUGAAGUCAGUGUUGUGUCAAAAUUGUUUUGACAUGUGGCUUUGAAACUUUGAGCACUUGCUUAUCAUCAUGAUCUCCAUUUGCAGGCAAGAGUACAUAACUCUGUCAACUAUUCUGCCUGAAUUAUGACCCUUUGUGGACUUGAAAAUCAGUUAAAUUUUUCAUACCAGUCUGUAUUUGCCUAACCUGUU